rnacentral:rRNA from 1 species
UACGUAGGGUGCAAGCGUUGUCCGGAAUUAUUGGGCGUAAAGAGCUCGUAGGCGGUUCGUCACGUCGGCUGUGAAAUCCCGAGGCUCAACCUCGGGUCUGCAGUCGAUACGGGCGGACUUGAGUACUGCAGGGGAGACUGGAAUUCCUGGUGUAGCGGUGAAAUGCGUAGAUAUCGUAAGGAAGACCAGUGGCGAAGGCGGGUCUCUGGACAGUUCCUGACGCUGAGGCACGAAGGUCAGGGGAGCAAACGGG